UCAGAAUCCAAGGUUCUCUAGCCCUCACAGACUGAAGACCAUGCAACUGAGGAAACCCCACAUACACUGCCCAUGUUUCACUUCUACUUCUCACAUCUGUCUGCAAGGCCAAGGAACUGCUAACUGACUGACUCCUUGACCUAUGCUCUUGCUGCUGUACAUUAGGAACCACAUCAACGAAGGUGGCUGAGGAAAGCCUGGACACUCAUCCUUUGGGAACGCAGUGACCUUUCAAAAAAAAGCAGAAGUGCCAUCUCACCUGGACUUGGGCUGCUAGGAGCCCAGCCGCCCUUCUUCCCUCGUCCUCAGGGCUUCCCUCUAUGUACCAUGCUGGAUCCUGAGGGCACAGAGCUAGGAAAGAAAAAAGAAGUCAUAGAGGCACCUUUCCCGUCAGAAGUUCACGAACCCUAUAGAGAUGAGGAAGGCUACGCCCUGCCUUUGCUCCUACCAUCCCAGAGUGAGAGAUAGACCCCAAGCUCCCGUUCUGAAGAACUGCUGGGUCGCCAGCUCUGACCCCAGCUACGGCAGAUCCCUGAAGGAAGAAGAUAUUACACAGCAGACAACACAGUUCAGGGUACAGCCAGCAGUCCCUCUCAGCCCUGACCUACAGUGACAAGAAAUCUCUUGUAAGGAAGAUACAGAAAAAUCAAGAUAUGGACUCACCCCAGGAGGGCCAUGGGUUGAUGGCUGCCAUCCCUGAGGAUCAAACAGGGUCCUGCCCAGCACUGAAAUUACCAACCUAGAGACAAAGUGAAAAAAAAAAAAAGACAAAAUUGGUCCUUUCUCACACAGGAACCAGUGAGAACAAAGAGAACCCACCCAUAAAGACGUGGGAGCACACUCAGGACGCUGAAGCAGGAGGAUUGCUACCAGUUUGAAGCCGGCCUGGUUGAUGUGGAAAGAGCCUGUCCCAAAUAAAUAAAUAAAAGGAGAUGACAAUUUA